UACGGAGGGGGCUAGCGUUGCUCGGAAUCACUGGGCGUAAAGGGUGCGUAGGCGGGUCUUUAAGUCAGUGGUGAAAGCCCGGAGCUCAACUCCGGAACUGCCAUUGAAACUGUUAGACUUGAGGAUGAGAGAGGUGAGUGGAAUUCCCAGUGUAGAGGUGAAAUUCGUAGAUAUUGGGAAGAACACCAGUGGCGAAGGCGGCUCACUGGCUCAUUUCUGACGCUCAGGCGCGACAGCGUGGGGAUCAAACAGG
rnacentral:rRNA from 1 species